GUUGGUUUUACCCGAAGGCGCUGCGCCAACCCGCAAGGGAAGCAGGCGACCACGGUAGGGUCAGCGACUGGGGUGAAGUCGUAACAAGGUAGCCGUAGGUGAACCUGCAGAAGGAUCA
rnacentral:rRNA from 1 species